GUACUUAGGCAUGAAGCUGGGAAACCUCCUCAGCCCCAAGCUCCCUGAACUGGGAGGUGGGAAGCCUAAACUCCUAAUCCAGGAGAGUGGGUACUCAAGAUGCCUGGAGAUAUGCCUGGGUGUGGAGUCCAGAGGGCUCCAUUGCACCACAAUCUCUGCACAGGGAGGAUAGGGCAGCUUAGGUUGUUAAUUCAGGUGAAUUAGCGCUCUGACUGCCUAGAGAUCUGCCUGAGCAUGGGACAGAGAAGGCCCCACUUUACUACAUUCUCUUCACAGGAAGGGUGGGCCGAUUCAAGCUGCUGAUCCAGAUUCUAGAGGCCCCCUUCCCAAGGCAGCAACAUCACAUCUCUCUGGCCUUUCUUUUCUCAUCAUGUCUGUCUCUGAUCACAGGCUGGGAAAGGUUCUACAGCUUUAAGGACCCAUGCGAUUCAACUGGGACCACUGGGAUAAUCCAGCUGCUUAAACAGUGUCCUCAAGUUCCUGUUUACUCUAGGCCAUCAAUAUUGGGAUGAUGAUGAUGACAACAAUGACAAUGAAGAUGAUGAUGGCGUCCAUCCAAUAAAAAUCAAGGGCACAAAAAUGCUCUCCACACGGCACCCGCACUACCUGUCAUUCCAGAUGCUUACCGCUUUAGUGCCUCUUUCAGCAAUAUGAAGUUAAAUCCAGAGAGAGUAUUAGAGGUGAUCCAAAACUCACAUCUGACAGAGAAGUAGCCAGAGGCCCUUUAAAAAUGAAGCCUGCCUGAAAAUUGAGAGAAAGGACUCCAACCCCAAACUAGGACAUGCCAAGGGAAAAGGUAUAGCCUAAGUAAGAAGACCACAAGAAGUGAUUGCCUAAUAUGAACAACAUUUUCCUUGGGAACAUUUGUGGGAACUGUAGAACAGUGUGGCUGCCUAAAAAGACAAGUAAUAGAUGGAGUUCACAACAGGCUAACAAGAGGAGGAAGACCACAGAUGUAAAGUGCCAUUCUCAUCAUAUCAUAUCGUAGGUACAUGAUACCCACGUGGCUUAUUACUUAUGUUAACAUUGAUUAACUGGCUGAGGUGGUUUUCUCCACUGUAUGUCUCCUAUUUUUCCUCUGUCCAUACCCAGUGUAGCCC
rnacentral:lncRNA from 10 species